AAUGGCCGAAAGGCUGAACCAGUAACUUGGAAGAAUGAAAGUGUAUUAUAAUAAUACAAUAACGAUUAUAUCGUAUAAAAUUCUAAAUAGAAUAAUGAUAAUGACAAUUUUCUAUUUAUAAGUCUUGACCAAACUACGUGCCAGCAGUCGCGGUAAUACGUAGAAGACUAGUGUUAAUCAUCUUUAUUAGGUUUAAAGGGUACCUAGACGGUAAAUUAAACUCUAAAUGAGUACUUAUUUACUAGAGUUUUAUGUAAGAAGGAAGAAUUUCUGGAGUAGUGAUAUAAUACGUAUAUACCAGAGAGACUGGUAACGGCGAAGGCAUCCUUCUAUGUAAAAACUGAC
rnacentral:rRNA from 1 species